GUUAUAUGGUCAAGUGAAGAAGCGCAUACGGUGGAUGCCUUGGCAGUCAGAGGCGAUGAAAGACGUGGUAGCCUGCGAUAAGCUUUGGGGAGUCGGCAAACAGACUGUGAUCCAGAGAUCUCUGAAUGGGGGAACCCACUCAGCAUAAGCUGAGUAUCUUGUACUGAAUACAUAGGUGCAAGAGGCGAACCAGGGGAACUGAAACAUCUAAGUACCCUGAGGAAAAGAAAUCAACCGAGAUUCCCUUAGUAGUGGCGAGCGAACGGGGACCAGCCCUUAAGUUGAUUUGAGAUUAGUGGAACGCUCUGGAAAGUGCGGCCAUAGUGGGUGAUAGCCCCGUACACGAAAAUCUCUUAUCAAUGAAAUCGAGUAGGACGGAGCACGAGAAACUUUGUCUGAAUAUGGGGGGACCAUCCUCCAAGGCUA
rnacentral:rRNA from 1 species